UACAGCCACAUCAGGUUGACACACCGGUUCCUGUAUGAUCGGCGAAGUUAAGCAACGUCGAACCUGGCCAGUACCUAGAUAAGUGACCGCUUGGGAAUAUCAGCCGCUGUAA